rnacentral:misc_RNA from 1 species
GCCUUCAAUGCUGCAUUCACAGCGCCGUCGGUGACUUUAAGAGGCGGAGGUGGUGUCUUCGUGGGCGCGGAAUGCGACACGUGUGAAUGGUGUUCGCAGAGCGGGAGGGGGAAGAGGACGGUGACAACUGCACGUGAGGUAGCAAAAAAUUGCACACGACUGUGCUACUGCCUCUCGUUCUUUUUUUUUUCGCCUCUCCACGCGCGCAUGAGUGCUAGCCGCCGCUCAACUUCACGAUAUUCUUUCCCGUGCAUCAUCAUCUGCCUGGCCUGUCCGCCGCCCAAUACGCAGGACCGGAGUGAGCUCUCUGCCGUCUAGUACGCCUGCAUCCCGUGUGGUGUUUCGCAAACAUGCAAGUUCCGCGAUGUCAAAGGUGCCUCUGCUUUUCAUUCUUGCGCGGCAAGCACCUCUCUCUGCCCCUUGAGAUGAUGAGCAAGAGUCGGUCUGGGCGAGGCACACCCUGGAAAGCAUGACGAGGCUCUCCUCUUUGAACGCCUUGCGUCGUGGAUUUCUGUCUCAAGAGCACGCGUCCUUUUACGAAAGCGCAGCGAACGCCAGGUGCGCCGCUCCCCCUCUGCUGCGGAAUAAAAGCGUUGGGCACGGCCCCCCUGCACAGCGCAUGCGCACGACGCUGUAAGUGGCGCCGUAGGUCAUGGGUGAAUAUCCUGUUAGAGUGCCUUCCUGAACUACCUCUCGCUUUUUAUUCUCAAUCGUUUGUGUCAUUCUCUUUCUCCGACGUCGGCAACGUCUGCUGCCCUCGGACGAUAUGCGGUGCCUGUGUGCAUGUGCACUUCUAUGAGUGUUUGUGCAGCGGUGGGCAUUGGCUCUUGUCUUUGGUACGCCCUCAUUAUGCUGUUGUACUGCUCGCCGGGCUUUGUUGUGCAGUAAAGUACUCCUCUAUUUGCUUUUUUCCGGCAAGCACCGGUAUUCUUGUGAACCGAGGCCCUCUAGAGGAGCGUCAAUGACGUCCGUCUUGUGAUACAAUUUUUCUUUUGUUGCAUGCCCCCCCCCUCCCCUCCCCCCAAUGUCGGUGUGUCUGUUUGUGCGAGGGUGUGCAUACGUGGAUGUGUCUGCAUGUGUUCUCCUGCACACAAUCAUACGGACGUCGAAUCGCAUGCAAGUCGCUCUGGCAGUCAACAAAGAGAAACUCCUUCUUCUGUGCCCACGGUUAGCUUCUGCAGUGUAUGUGUUGACGAUGGAGCUGACUGAAGAUCAACGAGAGCAAAAUAAGCGCUGGAAUCACCUUCACACGUCUCACCAAUGAAAUCCUUCAUGCCCGCGCGUUUCCCUCUACUUCUCUCCUUACCUCUGUCGAUUGUAGCGCCGCGAGUGGCACUUUUCCGCUUACGCUUAGCUCUCGUGAAGAACAUCUCCACCCCCGCCCACGACACCCGCAUCCGCAUCGUAUGGGAGGCAGAACCUCCCAAUACCCCAUCGCAAGCAUAACUAGGAACCCCAAGACCAAAGCGAAUCGCCAAGCCUCUGGAGUUCAU